GACGGAGGGUGCGAGCGUUGUCCGGAAUCACUGGGCGUAAAGGGCGCGUAGGCGGCGCGGGAAGUCAUCGGUGAAAGUUCAGGGCUCAACUCUGAAUCGGCCGGUGAUACUCUCGUGCUCGAGCACUGUAGAGGCAGGUGGAAUUCCGGGUGUAGCGGUGGAAUGCGUAGAGAUCCGGAAGAACACCGGUGGCGAAGGCGGCCUGCUGGGCAGUAGCUGACGCUGAUGCGCGACAGCGUGGGGAGCAAACAGG
rnacentral:rRNA from 1 species